rnacentral:rRNA from 1 species
GACGAACGCUGGCGGCGUGCUUAACACAUGCAAGUCGAACGGAAAGGCCCUGCUUUUGUGGGGUGCUCGAGUGGCGAACGGGUGAGUAACACGUGAGUAACCUGCCCUUGACUUUGGGAUAACUUCAGGAAACUGGGGCUAAUACCGGAUAGGAGCUCCUGCUGCAUGGUGGGGGUUGGAAAGUUUCGGCGGUUGGGGAUGGACUCGCGGCUUAUCAGCUUGUUGGUGGGGUAGUGGCUUACCAAGGCUUUGACGGGUAGCCGGCCUGAGAGGGUGACCGGCCACAUUGGGACUGAGAUACGGCCCAGACUCCUACGGGAGGCAGCAGUGGGGAAUAGUGCACAAUGGGCGGAAGCCUGAUGCAGCAACGCCGCGUGCGGGAUGACGGCCUUCGGGUUGUAAACCGCUUUCGCCUGUGACGAAGCGUGAGUGACGGUAAUGGGUAAAGAAGCACGGGCUAACUACGUG